AUGCAACGUCAUGGAUACCAUGACCGAUCACCAUCGAGAAAGAAGAAUUUUGAUAAAUCACUUCGGGUGAGCGGGGCCUUCAAGCGGCCUCAAUACGUCGGGGUUGUAAAUGACAUACCUUUCCUUAUGGGAAAUGCCACCUCCUUACUAAAAAGGAAUAGAAUCAAGUUAUUUUUACCAAAGAAGUCCCGCUCUGACGGCCCGACAAGUCAUCUACUAAAAAGGACCCUCCCCGCUGUGCGCCCCUCCUUGAAUUAUUCGGUCAUGCAAUACUUUUUUAAUACUAAGAAUAAAAUGCAUUUCGACCCCGUCCUAGUUCUCAAUCAUUUCGUGGCACCGGGUGUGACUGAACCAUCUACGAUGGGGGGAGCGAAGGGAGGAAUCUUAGAUAAGAGAAUACGCUCUCGCAUCGCUUUUUUUAGAAAGCUCUACCAGCGAGAAAAAGUGUUUGGCCUGAGCCAAAAAGAGGUUGAUCCACUUCAUUCGCCAAGCGAAUGA
rnacentral:rRNA from 1 species